CACUGGACAUUUUGUUUGGUGUUAUUGGCUUGACUUUAAAAUCCCUUGUGAACUUCCAUUAAUCUUGGAGGACACAAUCUAAUUGGUCAUUUGCCCCAUAAUUAAAUAAAGUACCUACAAGGAACCACAAUUAAGGAGCAGCUGAUUAGAAGUUCACGAGAGUUUUUAGUAUCAUUAUAGAUAUAUAUCACGUUUUAACACUCUUCACAGUGAGAUCAUCUUGUAGGAAAUUUGCUAAAGCAUUAUUCCACUGUGACUUGUACCCCUGAUGAAGUCCAUAAUGGACGAAACGCGUUGGGUUUUAUGAGAUAUAUAUAGCAUACACUGUUUCUGCAUAAAUGUGUAUUGUGCUUAUGGAACAACGUGUAUGACAAAUUUUAACGUGUAUUAAAAAUAAUCUUUCUAUCAUUCCGGUUAUGCUGGUUGGAUUUUACUUUGAGUAAUUAUUUCAAUUUUAA